rnacentral:rRNA from 1 species
UUGGAGGGCAAGUCUGGUGCCAGCAGCCGCGGUAAUUCCAGCUCCAAUAGCGUAUAUUAAAGUUGUUGCAGUUAAAAAGCUCGUAGUUGAAUUUCGGGAUCAAUGUUUCGGUCAUGCCGUUGGUAUGUACUGAUAUUAUUGAUUUCUCACCUUCUAAAGAACCGUAAUGCCAUUAAUUUGGUGUCACGGGGAAUUAGGACUGUUACCUUGAAAAAAUUAGAGUGUUUAAAGCAGGCUCACGCUUGAAUACAUUAGCAUGGAAUAAUGAAAUAGGACAUCCGAUUCUAUUUUGUUGGUUUCUAGGAUCGAUGUAAUGAUUAAUAGGGAUAGUUGGGGGCAUUAGUAUUCAAUUGUCAGAGGUGAAAUUCUUGGAUUUAUUGAAGACUAACUACUGCGAAAGCAUUUGCCAAGGAUGUUUUCAUUAAUCAAGAACGAAAGUUAGGGGAUCGAAGACGAUCAGAUACCGUCGUAGUCUUAAUCAUAAACUAUGCCGACUAGGGAUCGGAUGAUGUUAAUUUUUUAAUGACUCAUUCGGCGCCUUACGGGAAAC